UGGGAAACGUGCAGAUCCACAGGAUGUGGUUUGCAAAAUAAACCUCCUCUGUUCCUUCAAAAGUCUUAAACGCUUUGGAAUAUUCACCUCGUCAGACGGACUCACGCCUCUACAGACCAGCCCGUCCAACGUCCUCGUGUCUCAGUCCUCCUCUGAACGUCCUCGUGUCUCAGUCCUCCUCUGAAUGUCCUCGUGUCUCAGUCCUCCUCUGAAUGUCCUCGUGUAUCAGUCCUCCUUUGAAUGUCCUCGUGUCUCAGUCCUCCUUUGAAUGUCCUCGUGUCUCAGUCCUCCUCUGAAUGUCCUCGUGUCUCAGUCCUCCUCUGAAUGUCCUCGUGUAUCAGUCCUCCUUUAAAUGUCCUUGUGUCUCAGUCCUCCUCUGAAUGUCCUCGUGUCUCAGUCCUCCUCUGAAUGUCCUCGUGUCUCAGUCCUCCUUUGAAUGUCCUCUUAGCAACGUUCUUCUCCCAUGAAGACAUGCAGCGGAAUGUUUGUGUCCACUGGAGGUCAAAGG
ensembl:lncRNA